rnacentral:rRNA from 1 species
CUUUGGAAGGUAAAAGUCGUAACAAAGGUCUCCGUUGUGAACCAGCGGAGGGGAUCAUUGCUGGAACGCGCCCCAGGCGCACCCAGAAACCCUUUGUGAACUUAUACCUUACUGUUGCCUCGGCGCUAGCCGGUCCUUCGGGGCCCCUCUUCCGGAGGAGCAGGCACGCCGGCGGCCAAGUUAACUCUUGUUUUUACACUGAAACUCUGAGAAAAAAACAUAAAUGAAUCAAAACUUUCAACAACGGAUCUCUUGGUUCUGGCAUCGAUGAAGAACGCAGCGAAAUGCGAUAAGUAAUGUGAAUUGCAGAAUUCAGUGAAUCAUCGAAUCUUUGAACGCACAUUGCGCCCUCUGGUAUUCCGGAGGGCAUGCCUGUUCGAGCGUCAUUUCAACCCUCAAGCCUGGCUUGGUGAUGGGGCACUGCCUGUAAAAGGGCAGGCCCUGAAAUUCAGUGGCGAGCUCGCCAGGACCCCGAGCGCAGUAGUUAAACCCUCGCUCUGGAAGGCCCUGGCGGUGCCCUGCCGUUAAACCCCCAACUUUGAAAAUUUGACCUCGAUCAGGUAGAAUC